rnacentral:tRNA from 1 species
GAUGGCAUGGCUCAGUGGUUGAGCAUCAACCUGUGAACCUGGAGAUCAUGGUUCCAUUUCCCAUCA